rnacentral:rRNA from 1 species
CGCGUAGGCGGCGAGGCAAGUCAGAUGUGAAAGCCCCGGGCUCAACCCGGGAAUUGCAUCUGAAACUGCUUUGCUUGAGUUCUGGAGGGGGUAGUGGAAUUCCCAGUGUAGCGGUGAAAUGCGUAGAUAUUGGGAGGAACACCUGCGGCGAAGGCGGCUACCUGGACAGAAACUGACGCUGAGGCGCGAAAGCUAGGGGAGCGAACGGGAUUAGAUACCCCGGUAGUCCUAGCCGUAAACGAUGGGCACUUGGUGUUGGGGGUAUUGAGUCCCUCAGAGCCGGAGUUAACACGUUAAGUGCCCCGCCUGGGGAGUACGGUCGCAAGACUGAA